rnacentral:rRNA from 1 species
UACGUAGGGUGCAGGCGUUAAUCGGAAUUACUGGGCGUAAAGCGUGCGCAGGCGGUUUGCUAAGACAGGUGUGAAAUCCCCGGGCUUAACCUGGGAACUGCGCUUGUUACUGGCAGGCUGGAGUGUGGCAGAGGGGGGUAGAAUUCCACGUGUAGCAGUGAAAUGCAUAGAGAUGUGGAGGAAUACCGAUGGCGAAGGCAGCCCCCUGGGUUAACACUGACGCUCAUGCACGAAAGCGUGGGGAGCAAACAGG